UGGGGAAUAUUGCACAAUGGGGAAGACCCUGAUGCAGCGACGCCGCGUGAGGGAAGAAGGUUUUCGGAUUGUAAACCUCUGUCCUUGGUGACGAAAUGACGGUAGCCAAGGAGGAAGCCACGGCUAACUACGUGCCAGCAGCCGCGGUAAUACGUAGGUGGCAAGCGUUGUCCGGAAUUACUGGGUGUAAAGGGAGCGUAGGCGGGAAGAUAAGUUGGACGUCUAAUCUAUCGGCUCAACCGAUAGUCGCGUUCAAAACUGUUUUUCUUGAGUGAAGUAGAGGUAAGCGGAAUUCCUAGUGUAGCGGUGAAAUGCGUAAAUAUUAGGAGGAACACCAGUGGCGAAGGCGGCUUACUGGGCUUUAACUGACGCUGAGGCUCGAAAGCGUGGGUAGCAAACAGGAUUAGAUACCC
rnacentral:rRNA from 1 species